UACGUAGGGUGCAAGCGUUGUCCGGAAUUAUUGGGCGUAAAGAGCUCGUAGGCGGUUUGUUGCGUCGGCUGUGAAAGCCCGGGGCUUAACCCCGGGUCUGCAUUCGAUACGGGCAGACUAGAGUGUGGUAGGGGAGAUCGGAAUUCCUGGUGUAGCGGUGAAAUGCGCAGAUAUCAGGAGGAACACCGGUGGCGAAGGCGGAUCUCUGGGCCGAUACUGACGCUGAGGAGCGAAAGCGUGGGGAGCGAACAGG
rnacentral:rRNA from 1 species